UACGUUAUCAGCAUUAUAUACUUCAAAUGCAGUGAAAGAUAACAUAGAUGAAUUCUAUUCUUUGGUUGCCGCCCUUGUUGUUAUUUCAAUAGUAAUCUAUUGAAAAUUAAAAAGUUAGUGUCAGCCUAUGAAAGUGUUAGACGUGUCAGAGAAGGGAGUGUUGUUCAGAACGGAAUCGACACAAACGGUUAGACGUGUUUACAGCUAGACGAAAUCAAGUCAAGAUUUCUUUUAACUUGUUUUUCAAUUUAAGACAACAACAACAACAACAGCAAACUUCAUUCAAGAUGAAAGCAAUUGUGCUAGCUCUACUAGUUAUUAUUUUGGCGUUAAAUGACGGCAUAGAUGGUCAAGCAACAUCAUCGACAACAAUGGAAUCAUCAACAGCAUCAACAACACCAACAACACCAACAACAACAACAACAACAACAACUACAACAACGAUGAAAACAAACGGCACUGUAAAUUCAGCAUGGUCACCAGUUUCAUCCAGAUAUCACGUCUUGUUCGCUUCAGCAGCAGCAUAUUUAUUCUAUCUUACAAUUUAAUGAAAACUUUGCAAUAUGUUACUACACUGCACGAAAUCCUCCAUGCACGAUAAUAUGUUUACUGAAAAAUUUUGAAUCAACAAUAAGCAGUGUUUUGUUGUUGUUUUGAUGAAAAAGUUAUAUUUUAAUGCUAGACCGAGGAUGGUUAUUUUCAAACGAACCUUUACAGUUUUUUUGCACGAUUUUUAGGGGAUCUAAUGAUAUGGUAAAAUUUAAGAAUUGUCUUUUACCUGUGAUACAAAAUAAAUUCAUUAUACAAAAAUAUUGCUUUUCCCUGUUUUGAAACAUGUUAUUCUAGAAAUUAAAAAUAAAUAUAUUUGGUUUACUCAUCUCCUUUUUUGUGAACUUUUUAAGAAUUUUUAGAUCUAAAACGUCUUCUUCAUUGUAUUUUGUAUGAAGAUGUAACCUUUUUGUAAAUGCGUAUGGAAAAAAAAUAUUGAACCAUAAUAUUACUGCACUUCUUCAUUUAUCAACAUGCAAAAUAAAAUGAACAUGCAACAUGUUAAAUUUAUUUUGUUCAGACACUUGCAUAUAGCUUUUAAUUAAAUUUAAAUCUCCAUGAUAAACAUGUUUUGAGUAACCGCUAUAAUGGCAGCUUAGUUCAUUAUAAUUCUCCAAGGCAGCAAUUAAUGUUAGUUGUAAAUUAAUUUGAAAAUUACUACACAUUAGUCUUGGUGAAGCAUAAACAACCAUGAAUCGGUGAUGAAACAGAUGUGUUUGAAAUAUUCUCUGAUUUGUCAGCUUAAAGAUUUCUUGCGUGGUUUUACCGACCCCCUUCGACCAACAAAGAAGCAACCUGUACUAUCUUUGUUUAAGAAACUGGCUUUUUGUGGCACUGGCACAGCCACUUGUGACGAAAAUAACGGCAGAAAAGGGGAUAAAUUCAGGUGAUAAAGCAGGGACGUCAAAGUACCAACAACGUAUCAAAUGAAAAAUGGAUUGAAUACGUUAGUAGAUUUAUUCUAUUUGCGAGGGAAUACAGAUCUGAGGUGGGAAAACUGGAAUUACUUGAGUUUGAAAAGAUUAAUGCAGGUGAUGGUAAAGUUAAUGACAC